rnacentral:rRNA from 5 species
GGUUCGCCGCCCGUGACUUCGCGAGAAGUCCACUGAACCUUAUCAUUUAGAGGAAGGAGAAGUCGUAACAAGGUUUCCGUAGGUGAACCUGCGGAAGGAUCAUUG